AUGCCACCUGUGGAAAAGCUAAACCUGAGCAAGCUGGAUAUGUCAGAAGAGUGGCCUAAUGAAGAGGAAAAGCUGAGGUUUCAGAAGCUGAAAGAAGCAAUUAUAAAAGCUGAAAGAGAAGAAUCUCUUGCUGAGGAGCAUGUAGGUGCAGCCCAUGGUGUUCCUGAAGCAGAGAAGAUGCUCAGCAGGAAGAGCCAGCUCGGCGCUGCAGGUGCCUGCACUUCAGGCAGCGCUGGGAGACACUGAUAGGGAGAACCACUCUAGAAUUUCUGCUGUGGAAGGUUUUUCUUCUUUCAAAGGAAAACAACAAACCAGAAGGAUCAUUUUCAGGUACUGAAACGGUACUUAAAACGAACUGAGUGAAACAAGAGCUUUAAAAGGGCUCCAUCAACAGUCGUGAAGGUGUUGGACAGGAGGUGGCACCACAGGACCACAGACAAAGCCAGGCUGUUCCACCCCUGCCAUCCCACCGUUCAUAUGAAUACCACAUCAACACUGGUUAAUGAGAGCUUUUGUACUCCAAAUCUUCAACUCUUACUGUCAUUUAGUGCCUUUCUUUGUCCUCUGACCACCUUGAAGGAAGCAGAUUUCCUGUUCCUUGAGUGCUGCAGAGAAUAUUCCUUUAUUUAACCCUAAAGGGUUUUCGUUUUCAAACUGUUCUUGUUGAAAUCUGGUUGCAGAUGUUUCUGCUCACUGCAGGCUUGAAGGAACUCUCGUGUUUGAAGUCUCUCCCAACCCAAAUCAUUCAGGGAUUCUGUGACUGGGGGAGAAAAAGCCACAACACAACUGAUAAAAUGUAAGAAUGUACUUCACAAGUAAUAAACCUGAAAAUUACUCAAUAAAACUGAGAUUGUUUUUACUUGUAGAAGGUGA